ACGUAAUAGAUACCCAGGUAGUCCACGCCCUAAACGAUGUCUACUAGUUGUUGGUGGAGUAAAAUCCAUGAGUAAACGCAGCUAAACGCGUGAAGUAGACCGCCUGGGGAGUACGGUCGCAAGAUUAAAACUCAAAGGAAUUGACGGGGGCCCGCACAAGCGGUGGAUUAUGUGGAUUAAAUUCGAUGCAACGCGAAAAACCUUACCUGGCCUUGACAUGCCACUAACGAAGCAGAGAUGCAUUAGGUGCCCGUAAGGGAAAGUGGACACAGGUGCUGCAUGGCUGUCGUCGGCUCGUGUCGUGAGAUGUUGGGUUAAGUCCCGCAACGAGCGCAACCCUUGCCAUUAAUUGCCAUCAUUUAGUUGGGCACUUUAAUGGGACUGCCGGUGACAAACCGGAGGAAGGUGGGGAUGACGUCAAGUCCUCAUGGCCCUUAUGGCCAGGGCUUCACACGUAAUACAAUGGUCGGUACAGAGAGUUGCCAACCCGCGAGGGGUAGCUAAUCUCAGAAAGCCGAUCGUAGUCCGGAUUGUU
rnacentral:rRNA from 1 species